AGAGCGAACGCUGGCGGCAGGCUUAACACAUGCAAGUCGAGCGGGCGUAGCAAUACGUCAGCGGCAGACGGGUGAGUAACGCGUGGGAACGUACCUUUUGGUUCGGAACAACCCAGGGAAACUUGGGCUAAUACCGGAUAAGCCCUUACGGGGAAAGAUUUAUCGCCGAAAGAUCGGCCCGCGUCUGAUUAGCUAGUUGGUGGGUAAUGGCCCACCAAGGCGACGAUCAGUAGCUGGUCUGAGAGGAUGAUCAGCCACAUUGGGACUGAGACACGGCCCAAACUCCUACGGGAGGCAGCAGUGGGGAAUAUUGGACAAUGGGCGCAAGCCUGAUCCAGCCAUGCCGCGUGAGUGAUGAAGGCCCUAGGGUUGUAAAGCUCUUUGUGCGGGAAGAUAAUGACGGUACCGCAAGAAUAAGCCCCGGCUAACUUCGUGCCAGCAGCCGC
rnacentral:rRNA from 1 species